AUUGAACGCUGGCGGCAUGCUUUACACAUGCAAGUCGAACGGUAACAGGCCGCAAGGUGCUGACGAGUGGCGCACGGGUGAGUAAUGCAUCGGAACGUGCCCAGUCGUGGGGGAUAACUACUCGAAAGAGUAGCUAAUACCGCAUACGAUCUAUGGAUGAAAGCGGGAGACCGUAAGGCCUCGCGCGAUUGGAGCGGCCGAUGUCAGAUUAGGUAGUUGGUGGGGUAAAGGCUCACCAAGCCAACGAUCUGUAGCUGGUCUGAGAGGACGACCAGCCACACUGGGACUGAGACACGGCCCAGACUCCUACGGGAGGCAGCAGUGGGGAAUUUUGGACAAUGGGCGCAAGCCUGAUCCAGCAAUGCCGCGUGCAGGAAGAAGGCCUUCGGGUUGUAAACUGCUUUUGUACGGAACGAAACGGCUCUGGUUAAUACCCGGGGCUAAUGACGGUACCGUAAGAAUAAGCACCGGCUAACUACGUG
rnacentral:rRNA from 1 species